UGGCUCAGUGGGUAGAGCAUCGGCCUGUGGACUCAAGGGUCCCGGGUUCGAUUCCCGG
rnacentral:tRNA from 1 species